rnacentral:lncRNA from 1 species
ACCUCUUUAUGUACUGCCCUAUGGAGGGGCACACAUGUCAAGAAACGGAGGGAAUGCCUUCCAGUCACCAGCCAGCCAGGAACUAAGGUGCUCAGUACAGUAGCCUCCACAAAGGACUGAAUAAUGCCAACAGCUAUUUGAUUGUGCUUGGAAGAUCUCCAUUUAGUUGAGCCUUCAGAUGAGACCACAGCCCUGGCCAGCAAACAAAUUGCAGCCUAUGGAAAGACCUUAAGGCAGAAGCACCCAACUGAACCAACUGAGGGCUCUGACUUACAGAAACUGUGAGCAUAUAGUGAAAUGGCCUUUACCUUAUUUUGAAUGGAUUUCUGGGAUAAAGUUCUUCAGUGACAACAUGUUUGAACACAAAUUAGAGCGAACGACGUGAAAAAGAGUUCUGUUUCUCCUGGAAGGAUGCCACUUGUUUCUACUCCCGGGGAAAUGUCUUCCAAGUUCUUUACCAAAUCUGCAAGCUGAACCAACUCAACUGUGGCUGCCUUGCCCACCUGAAGACCUCAGGAUCCACCAGCAGCCCAAGACACCUCGGAAGCUGGUGCAAGGACAAGUGUCGCCUGCACAUGUCAGCACAAAUGGGAACAUGAUGAGUGAUGCUGCCUGGAGUUAAAGGAGGCCAGGAGCACCAGAAGCUGGAGGAGGCCGGAGUGGAUUCUCCCCUGGAGGCUUCUGUGGGAACAUAGGCUCCUGAUACUUCGGUUCCAUCUCUUGUUUAAAGGCACCCAGCUUCUCAUCAUUUGUUACAGCACCCUGGAAAACUCACACACAAGUGAAGCCCCAACCCAUCCCCGAAGUGCCCAUCUGAGCACCCCUCGUGGAUUCUGAGCAGGGGGUCACCACCACCAACUCCACGUCUUGCAGCCCCUCUUCCCUUCAGUCUGGCUGCCACCUUCUUCAUUGCCCUGAAAAAAAAAUAAUGAAGUUUCACCAUUUAAAGGGUUUCAGUGCAGCUUGCUAUGGGAACACUGGAGAGUAACACAAAUGGCCAAUUGUCCUAAUAGCCACCAUGGAAUGGAUGGAUGCUAACAACAGGCUCGGAGUUCUCCAUCUGUUGCCUCCUUUUAUCCACAUGAGAAUCAAACAAAUAGGUGCUGCUGGUAUUACUGUAUUUUUCUCAUUUUAAAGGUCAGGAUGGGGAGGGUUGAGGAGGUUAAGGAAGUCAUUAGAGGUUACACUGAAGUCAAGAAAGGAAAAAGGACUUAGAAACUUGUUCUUCCAACUUUAGAACCACGGUCAGUGACCAAGGCCCUGCUUAGAACUUUCUGAAGGUCGCAGCUGGCCUUCUACCUGGAGUUUUGACUUCCUUUCCGAGAAAGGAACUUGAGUGGCAAUUACAAGAAAGUUGAGAACUUCUCUUUCAUAUUUUAAGCAUUCAUUUAUUUUUUAAAUUUAUUUUAAUUUACAAAUGCUAAUUGUAUAUAUGUAUAAGGUAAGAUAUGAUAUUUUGAUAUGGCUACCUUGUAAUUAAAUGAGUCUCAUUACCAA